GUCUUUAGUAGCUGCACAGUAGCUGUCUAACAUUUUGAUCGGACGAACCGUAAUAGAUCCAUCAAAUAGUGAACCAAAAGCUGAGAUUGCUCCACGUGUCCCUUUGAUAUUUUGGUUUGAUACAAGAUCUAAGUCUUUAGUUCUUGGUACUUUACCAAUUGUAUUUUUGUUCUUAUCGACCACAACCUUCGCCUUAUUCCUUCUAGCUUCUUCUUCCUUACUUAGUUUGUUGCGAGAGACUGUGAGUUGAGAAUCAAAAUUGAUCAUUGGAUUUUUAUCUUCAACAUUCUCCUCAAGUUGGAGGGUAGAGAAGCAACCCCCAACUUGCCGAGAAUUGAGAGAUGUGAUGGCCGAGACAAGGGUUUUGUGAAUAAAUCAGCAAGUUGAGACGAAGACGGCACAAAGGAAAGAGAUUAAACCAGAGAGGAAUUAUUGCCGAACAAAGUGGCAGUCAAGUUCCACAUGUUUGGUCCUCUCAUGAAAAACUGGGUUCCGAGCUAUGUGGAUUGCGGCCUGGCUAUCGGAGUGAAUCGGUACCGAAAGAGAGGGAGAUGAUCCUAGAUCUGUGAGUAAUCGAGUCAACCAGGUGAUUUCAGCGACGACUCUUCUCAUGGAUCGAUAUUCUGCUUCAGCGGAAGAGAGUGACACUGAGACCUGUAUUUUUUAUUUCCACGAGAUAGGAGAGCCUCAUAAACUGACAAAAUAGCCACUGAUUGAACGGCGGGAGUCAAGACAAGCGCCCCAGCCGGCAUUGCAAAAUGCGAGUAAGGUGAGAGAAGGUUCAGCUAUCAUGAAGAUUCCUUGUCCAGGAUUUGAGCGCAUAUAUCUAAUUACCCGAAGUGCCACAUUAAAAUGAGGCAAGCGAGGAUCUUGCAUAAAUUGACUAAGAUGUUAGACCGCGAAUGAAAGAUCCGGCCUAGUAUAAGUUAAAUAGUUCAAUUUGCCAAGGAGUCUCCGAUAUAUGGUUGCAUCGGAUAGUAAUUCACCAGAAGUAAUACUGAGCUUGCAUGAGGGAUCCAGAGGAGAAGUCACCAGUGGUAGAUGCUCGCAGUUGAACUCUUCUAAUAACUCCAAGCCAGGAAGGAUGUAGAAUCACCAAGGAAUUGGGAGUUGACAUAAACUUCUCUCUGCUUCUCAUCCUAUAUCAACAAGGAGUAAGCAUGUCCUAUAGUUGGCAAAGGGGAUAACAUCAAGAUGCUGCUUCUCAUAGAGGCAUAAGUAUCAUUCAACCCCAUGAGAAAUUUGAUAAGCCUCUCAUCUUGAAGUGACUUAGCCAUUUUGGCUUUUCCUCCACAAUUACAGGCACAAAAAUAGUUGAUAUGAGUGUUCAAGGUCCUUGGAUGUCUUAGAGUAAAUCACACUGUCAGCAAUCUCUCUUGACAGAGAAUUAAGUAGCCAAAAAAUCACCAUAUCAUUACACAUGCUUGACAACUUGAAGUCAUGUGUUUCUGGCCUAGGAGAAAGGCAAGCUCCACCAAUAAAGCCAAUCUUAUUUUUUGUAGAAAGAGCUAUGAGAAUGGACCUGCGCCAUCCUCCAUAACCUCUUCCAUCAAAAGAUGAGUUUACCAAGUUCAUUCUAGGUGAAUCAGACGGGUUAAGGAAGUAAGGAUAACUUGGGUAUUUCAUGCUAUUCCCAUUAUUUCCAGAGGUGACAGUAUUUCCAGAAGUGACAUCAGCGACCUCAGAUGUGGACAUCAUUGGAGAAUGAAAGCAAAGAGAAACUGAAAAAGAAAAAGAUUAGGAUAUUCUUAGAGCUGUUGCUUUGAUACCAUGUAGAAAAGUUAGGAGAAAAAAUGAUUGAGAAUUUUUCUGUGUAUUUUCAUUGAUUGAUGACAGUCUAUUUAUACAAGUAUAGUGUAAAAGGAUAAGAAUAA